rnacentral:rRNA from 1 species
CAGCCGCCGCGGUAAAACGAAGGGUGCAAGCGUUACUCGGAAUUACUGGGCGUAAAGCGUGCGUAGGUGGUGGUUUAAGUCCGUUGUGAAAGCCCUGGGCUCAACCUGGGAAUUGCAGUGGAUACUGGGUCACUAGAGUGUGGUAGAGGAUAGUGGAAUUUCCGGUGUAGCAGUGAAAUGCGUAGAGAUCGGAAGGAACAUCUGUGGCGAAGGCGACUAUCUGGGCCAACACUGACACUGAGGCACGAAAGCGUGGGGAGCAAACAGGAUUAGAUACCCGUGUAGUCCCUGUCUCUUAUAC